rnacentral:lncRNA from 1 species
UUCCCGUCGUGGCUCAGCAGUUAACGAACCCAACCAGCAUCCAUGAAGAUGCAGGUUCGAUCCCUGGCCUCGCUCAGUGGGUUAAAUAUCUGGUGUUGCCCUGAGCUGUGAUGUAGGUCGCAGACACAGCUAGGAUUCAUAGUUGCUGUGGCUGUGGCAUAGGCUGGCGGCUACAGCUCCAAUUGGACCUCUAGCCUGGGAACCUCCAUACCGAGGGUGUGGCCCUAAAAAGACAAAAACAACAACAAGAACAAAAAUAUUGGAUUAUUUGACUCUAUUUUAUUCUGAAUACUCCAGUUCCAUUUGUAUUUAUUUACUUAUGAAGAAUUGAGGAAACCAUAUGAGUGAAAGAAAAUUUAUAGCAUAUGUUCAUCUUUAUGGAGAAAUGUAAAAUCCAUAUUAACAUCAUCAAUAUAACUAAAAUAUUAUUUCUAUAUUUACAAAACCAACAGAAAUUGCUUAUAAAUUUUUUCCUUAACUUUUGUUUUUAAGGUAUAAAGCAGCUAUUGUUCAUCAGAUACCGAUCUCUCAGACCUUUCCCUUAGUGUUUUUGAGUUCAGUGUCUAUGAGAUUCUUAGAUGCUGGGGAAAUGAUUCCCCAGAUUUGUAUUUCAAAAGUAGUUUAGUAAUUUUGUUGAAAAUGAAAAAAAGAUUACAGUCACAUUGAAACUUUCCUUUCUUGUUCUUUUAUCUAUAGCAGUGGGAAAACUAUAUGAACAUUCUGAGUGAAAAGGAUAUUUGGUAUUUUAGUAACUGUUCAACAAAUUAUUUUAAAAGUUGAGGUAGACUGUACACUUAAAAGACAGUUAAAUCGGGAGUUUCAAUCGUGGUUCAGUAGUACGAACCCAGCUAACAUCCUUGAGGAUGCGGGUUUGAUCCCUGGCCUUGCUCAGUGAGUUAAGUAUCUAGAAUUGCCUUGAGCUGCCCUGUAGGUGGCAGAUGCAGCUCGGAUCUGGUGUUAUUGUGACUGUGGUGUAGGCUGACAGCUGCAGCUCUGAUUUGACCCUUAGCCUGGGAACCUCCAUAUGCCACAGGUGUGGUGCUAAAAAGCAAAUAUAUAAAUAAAUAAAUAAAACAAUUAAAUCUUAUAAGUAUUUUAUCACAACAGAAAAGGUUGAAAAAAGUUAAGGUAGAAUUAGACAUAUAUAUGGCUGUGCAUCUUUUAGAUACAUUAUUAAAUUUGCCACUUUACUUGUUGCAUGUAGACCGGUUGACUCUACAGUUUACCUUACCUCCAUGAUCUGCCUGCAGGAUUGCUAAGGGAGAUGCUGGGGGAAGAGAGCUAGUCAUUUUUAUACUGCUUAAUUCUUUAUUCUUGCUUCUUUUUAUCUAGGAAAAGAAUCAACAGGUUAAUUAGGUUCUUUAAAGGUUAGAGGGGAACAGAAGAAGCCAAACAGGAAAGGGGCCAGAGAGCUGCUUUCAACAUGUUAACUUAAUAGUAUUUUGGAUAUAUUGAGUUAAAUAAAAUAUAUAAAUAAAGUUAAUUUCAUCUAUUUACUUUUACUUUUUUUGACCACACCUACAGCAUGUGGAAGAUCCUGGGCCAGGGACUGAACCCAUGCCACAGCAGUGACAAUGCCAGAUCCCCAACCCACUGCACCACCAGGGAAUUCCUGUGUUUACUUUUUUAAAUGUGGCUACUAAAACAUUGAAAAUUAUACUCAUAGUGGGCGCUCUAUUUCUGAUGGGCAGUCUUGCUCUGGACAGUCUUUUUUAUAGCAGGAAGAGCUUAGUUCACUGUGUCUGCACAUCCUGGGGAAGGGCAGGAGAAGGCCGAUGUGGGCAGUUCUCCCAGAAAAGGAAAACCUCAAGCCUAAAAGUCAAGAAAUCAUUCUUAUAAUGGGACACUGAAAUAUUUGUCUCGAACUGUUUGACUCCAAAAUCUGCUCCAAAGGCAUCAUUUUAUGAGGUUUUACUUUCUAGGUUUAACCAGGAAAGCUUAAUCCUCUGACACGUCUCCCAAUAAUUUACCCAAACUAUUUGAAAAGGAAUUUUCCAAUGUGGACAAAAACAGUAUGGUAUUUUUCCUUCUUGAAUAGAAUUUUAUGAAAUUUAUGGAAAUACUUCUAUGUUACUUUUUUUUUUUUUUAAUAGAGCAAAGUAACAGUAAGGCCGAAACUAUUUGUUUCAUACCCUGGCCUUUGUCCGUGUAUGCAGAAAAUGAAUACACAGACAGGAUAUUUUCAAUUACUCAUUUCCUUUGUUUACAUGUCACAUUGAGAUUCAUCGUGCUACCUCUUUCAGCCCUCUCAAGUCCCCCUCGUUUCUUCAGAACACAACUCCAAUCUCAAGCCUCAAGCCUUGUACCAAAUCCCAGAUGCUUUCUAGCAUGAAAGAGAAAUCACACGAAUAUUUACGUCCUUCCUGAUUUGCAGUUGCAAUUGGGUUUGAUUACAAAUCCCCAUCAAUUGUCCCCCAUCCUUCUGCUUCAGCUUCUCCCUCUCCUUCCUCCACGUGCGCGCGCGCACACACACACACACACACACACACACACCCCUUCCCUCCCUUCUUCUCUUUCUCUAGUGUUUCUGAUGAGCCAAGUGUUGGAAGCUCUCAGACUUUGUGCCCUCUAUGUUUAUAACUUUAAGUGUGUAUCCAGACAGUUUGCCUUGUUCUCAAAGAAAACCAGAGCUUGGAAUUUUGGGAAGCAAAUCUGGUAGGUUUGUGAGCUUGUUGAAAAUUUAGUAAACGGAAGCUUCUGAGAAAUGUGGGGUCAACAAAUUCAAAAGAAAAAAAAAAGGAGUUCCCGCCGUGGUGCAGUGGUUAACAAAUCCGACUGGGAACCAUGAGGAUGAGGGUUCACCAUUGCCAUGAGAUGUGGUGUAGGUCACAGAUGCAGCUCAGAUCUGGCAUUGCUGUGGUUGUGGUGUAGGCCAGUAGCUGUAGCUCCGAUUCGACCCCAGCCUGGGAACUUCCAUUUGCCACACAUGCGGCC